rnacentral:rRNA from 1 species
UUCGGGGUACUCGAGUGGCGAACGGGUGAGUAACACGUGGGUGAUCUGCCCUGCACUUUGGGAUAAGCCUGGGAAACUGGGUCUAAUACCGAAUAGGACCACGCGCUUCAUGGUGUGUGGUGGAAAGCUUUUGCGGUGUGGGAUGGGCCCGCGGCCUAUCAGCUUGUUGGUGGGGUAAUGGCCUACCAAGGCGACGACGGGUAGCCGGCCUGAGAGGGUGACCGGCCACACUGGGACUGAGAUACGGCCCAGACUCCUACGGGAGGCAGCAGUGGGGAAUAUUGCACAAUGGGCGCAAGCCUGAUGCAGCGACGCCGCGUGAGGGAUGACGGCCUUCGGGUUGUAAACCUCUUUCAAUAGGGACGAAGCGNGAGUGACGGUACCUAUAGAAGAAGCACCGGCCAACUACGUGCCAGCAGCCGCGGUAAUACGUAGGGUGCGAGCGUUGUCCGGAAUUACUGGGCGUAAAGAGCUCGUAGGUGGUUUGUCGCGUUGUUCGUGAAAACUCACAGCUUAACUGUGGGCGUGCGGGCGAUACGGGCAGACUAGAGUACUGCAGGGGAGACUGGAAUUCCUGGUGUAGCGGUGGAAUGCGCAGAUAUCAGGAGGAACACCGGUGGCGAANGCGGGUCUCUGGGCAGUAACUGACGCUGANGAGCGAAAGCGUGGGGAGCGAACAGGAUUAGAUACCCUGGUAGUCCACGCCGUAAACGGUGGGUACUANGUGUGGGUUCCUUCCUUGGGAUCCGUGCCGUANCUAACGCAUUAAGUACCCCGCCUGGNAGUACGGNCGCAAGGCUAAAACUCAAAGGAAUUGACGGGGGCCCGCACAAGCGGCGGANCAUGUGNAUUAAUUCGAUGCAACGCGAAGAACCUUACCUGGGUUUGACAUGCACAGGACGCCGGCNNANAUGUCGGUUCCCUUGNNGNCCUGUGUGCNNNUGNGCAUGGCUGUCGUCAGCUCGUGUCNNGANANGUUGNUUAAGUCCCGCAACNNNCGCANCCCUUGUCCUAUGUUGCCA